CAUGUCUAGUAUAGCAAUUAUACACGCGAAACUGCGAAUGGCUCAUUAUAUCAGUUAUCGUUUAUUUGAUAGUACCUUACUACUUGGAUAACCGGGGUAAUUCUAAAGCUAAUACAUGCUAAAAAUCCCCACUCCUGAAGGGAUGUAUUUAUUAAAUAAAAAACCAAUGCCCUUCGGGGCUCACUGGUGAUUCAUGAUAACUUCUCCAAUCGCAUGGCCUUGCGCCGGCGAUGGUUCUGUCAAAUUUCUUCCCUAUCAACUUUCAAUGUUUGGGUAUUGGCCAAACAUGGUUGCAACGGGUAACGGAGGGUUAGGGUUCGACCCCGGAGAAGGAGCCUGAGAAACGGCUACUACAUCCAAGGAAGGCAGCGGGCGCGCAAAUUACCCAAUCCCGACACGGGGAGGUAGUGACAAUAAAUACUGAUACAGGGCUCUUUUGGGUCUUGUAAUUGGAAUGAGUACAAUUUAAAUCCCUUACCGAGGAACAAUUGGAGGGCAAGUCUGGGGCCAGCAGCCGCGGUAAUUCCAGCUCCAAUAGCGAAUAUUAAAGUUGUUGUGGUUAAAAAGCUCGUAGUUGAACCUGGGGCCUGGCUGGCCGGUCCGCCUCACCGCGUGCACUGGCCCGGCCGGUCCUUUCCCUCUGUGGAACCCCAUGCCCUUCCCUGGGUGUGGGGGGCACACAGCACUUUUACUGCGUAAAAAUUAAAGUGCUCCAGGAAGCCCUAUGCUCAAAUACUUUAUCAUGAAAUAAUAAAAGAGGACGAGUGAUUCUAUUUUGUUGUUUUCUAGGACC
rnacentral:rRNA from 1 species